rnacentral:rRNA from 1 species
CGCCAGAGCACUACGAGCCACAGCUUAUAACUCAAAGGACUUGGCGGUGCCCUACACCCACCUAGAGGAGCCUGUUCUAUAAUUGAUAAUCCCCAAUAAACCUCACCACUUCUUGCAAAUACAGCCUAUAUACCACCGUCACAAGCCCGCCUCCCCAAAGAAUAACAGCAGGCCAAAUAAUUUUAAAUAUAAAAGUCAGGUCAAGGUGUAGCACAUGAGUUGGAAAGAAAUGGGCUACAUUUUCUUUAAAGAAAACACGAAAUAUUUUGUGAAAUAUAAUAUGAAGGAGGAUUUAGUAGUAAAAAGGAAAUAGAGAGUCCUUUUUAAACCGGCAAUAGGGCAAGCACACACCGCCCGUCACCCUCUUUAACUUUCUAAAAAUUAAAUAAAUAUAUAUUUACACUCAGAAGAGGAAAGUCGUAACAAGGUAAGUCUACCGGAAGGUGGCCUUGGGA